rnacentral:rRNA from 1 species
UACACACCGCCCGUCACGUCAUGGAAGUCGGCAACACUUGAAGUCGUCGAGCUAACCCGCAAGGGAGGCAGACGCCCAAGGUGGGGUCGGUGACUGGGACG